rnacentral:rRNA from 1 species
UACGUAGGGUGCAAGCGUUGUCCGGAAUUAUUGGGCGUAAAGAGCUCGUAGGCGGUCUGUCGCGUCGGCUGUGAAAUCCCGAGGCUCAACCUCGGGUCUGCAGUCGAUACGGGCAAACUAGAGUAUUGCAGGGGAGACUGGAAUUCCUGGUGUAGCGGUGAAAUGCGCAGAUAUCAGGAAGAACACCGGUGGCGAAGGCGGCUCUCUGGACCGAUACUGACGCUGAGGCGCGAAAGCGUGGGGAGCAAACAGG